rnacentral:rRNA from 1 species
GGUGAACGCUGGCGGCGUGCUUAACACAUACAAGUCGAACGGAAAGGCUCCUGCUUGCAGGGGUACUCGAGUGGCGAACGGGUGAGUAACACGUGGGUGAUCUGCCCUGCACUUCGGGAUAAGCCUGGGAAACUGGGUCUAAUACCGGAUAGGACGAUGGUUUGGAUGCCAUUGUGGAAAGUUUUUUCGGUGUGGGAUGAGCUCGCGGCCUAUCAGCUUGUUGGUGGGGUAAUGGCCUACCAAGGCGUCGACGGGUAGCCGGCCUGAGAGGGUGUACGGCCACAUUGGGACUGAGAUACGGCCCAGACUCCUACGGGAGGCAGCAGUGGGGAAUAUUGCACAAUGGGCGCAAGCCUGAUGCAGCGACGCCGCGUGGGGGAUGACGGCCUUCGGGUUGUAAACUCCUUUCGCUAGGGACGAAGCGCAAGUGACGGUACCUGGAGAAGAAGCACCGGCUAACUACGUG